rnacentral:tRNA from 1 species
GAGGGUAUAGUUCAGUAGUAAGGUUGCAUGCUUAGUAUGCACAAGGUCCUGGGUUCAAUCCCCUGUACCUCCA